rnacentral:rRNA from 1 species
GGCGAGUGAAGCGGCAAAAGCUCAAAUUUGAAAUCUGGCACCUUCGGUGUCCGAGUUGUAAUUUGAAGAUUGUAACCUUGGGGUUGGCUCUUGUCUAUGUUUCUUGGAACAGGACGUCACAGAGGGUGAGAAUCCCGUGCGAUGAGAUGCCCAAUCCUAUGUAAGGUGCUUUCGAAGAGUCGAGUUGUUUGGGAAUGCAGCUCUAAGUGGGUGGUAAAUUCCAUCUAAAGCUAAAUAUUGGCGAGAGACCGAUAGCGAACAAGUACAGUGAUGGAAAGAUGAAAAGAACUUUGAAAAGAGAGUGAAAAAGUACGUGAAAUUGUUGAAAGGGAAGGGUUUGAGAUCAGACUCGAUAUUUUGUGAGCCUUGCCUUCGUGGCGGGGUGACCCGCAGCUUAUCGGGCCAGCAUCGGUUUGGGCGGUAGGAUAAUGGCGUAGGAAUGUGACUUUGCUUCGGUGAAGUGUUAUAGCCUGCGUUGAUGCUGCCUGCCUAGACCGAGGACUGCGAUUUUAUCAAGGAUGCUGGCAUAAUGAUCCCAAACCGCCCGUCUUGAAACACGGACCAA